ensembl:lincRNA
CAGAGGUAAACACAGAAACUCAGAAGUACCAAAUAUUACUUUGAACCAGUUUCUGUUUCCAAUAGUUCCCAUAGGAAAUGCCCUAAUGAGACAAUACAUAUGUGAAACAGUUUUGUAAAGGCACAGUUUUUAAAAUGCAUUUGUAUUAUUUGCAUUGCUGACUUCUGCUAUUUUGUUGCUACAUAUCUUGGCCCAGAUUCUCAUCCCUCAGGGCCAGGAGACCAGAUUAACAACAGUCUCCAGAGAAAAGACCUCCGGGUAUUCUGCCUGUGUGGAGGGGUGGGGGUGGGGAGUGGGGAGGAGGUUCCUUCCAAUUCCCAGAGCCCAUGGACAGGAAAUCUGAUCACAGGCCACUCGGUCACUCUAAUCACGCUUUCUGUGGUCUGAGAGAGAGGCAGCUAGCAGAAGACGGCUUGGGAGAAGAGGACAGGAGGAGAGGAGAGCCUGCAACAAAGCAUGGAUCUCUCCUCAUGGCAGCUGUAGGAAACACAGGAACUCCGUGA